UACGGGGGGGGGCAAGCGUUGUUCGGAAUUACUGGGCGUAAAGGGCUCGUAGGCGGCCAACUAAGUCAGACGUGAAAUCCCUCGGCUUAACCGGGGAACUGCGUCUGAUACUGGAUGGCUUGAGUUUGGGAGAGGGAUGCGGAAUUCCAGGUGUAGCGGUGAAAUGCGUAGAUAUCUGGAGGAACACCAGGUGGCGAAGGC
rnacentral:rRNA from 1 species